rnacentral:rRNA from 1 species
UACGUAGGGUGCAAGCGUUAAUCGGAAUUACUGGGCGUAAAGCGUGCGCAGGCGGUUAUGUAAGACAGAUGUGAAAUCCCCAGGCUUAACCUGGGAACUGCAUCCGAUACUGGAUGGCUAGAGUCUGGUAGGGGGAUCUGGAAUUCCUGGUGUAGCGGUGGAAUGCGCAGAUAUCAGGAGGAACACCGGUGGCGAAGGCGGGAUCCUGGGCCAGUACUGACGCUGAGGAGCGAAAGCGUGGGGAGCAAACAGG